GCUUCUAUGAUGAAACGGCACUGGGCUCCGAUUUUUCCACAUGAGCACGAUAUGCCAUUUUUGCGACAGGCCUAGAAAACCUCGUCCACUGAUC
rnacentral:snoRNA from 1 species